CUAGUCAUUGGUCAUAGCAUC
rnacentral:miRNA from 1 species